rnacentral:rRNA from 1 species
CACGUAGGCGGCUUGGUAAGUCAGAUGUGAAAGCCCGGGGCUUAACCCCGGAAGUGCAUUUGAUACUGCCAGGCUUGAGUAUGGGAGAGGGAAGUGGAAUUCCUGGUGUAGAGGUGAAAUUCGUAGAUAUCAGGAGGAACACCGGUGGCGAAGGCGACUUCCUGGACCAAUACUGACGCUGAGGUGCGAAGGCGUGGGUAGCAAACAGGAUUAGAUACCCUGGUAGUCC